AGCAAGUGGAAGACACUAUGGAUGAGCUGAAUGAGGAGUUCCUGCAGCUCAGUGCCCAAGCCCUGGAGCUGCAGAAAGAAGAGACCGAGCCAGAUCAACUGCUCUCAGAAGGCGACACCUUUGUGAUGGCUCCUGGCAUCUCCCCCAGAGUGUGGCAGGAAAGCAGACUUAACCCAGCAGAGACGGGCAGCCCAGGCAGAGAGGAGCUGAGAACUCAGGUCCUACAAAGUGAGCAGGCCCUGGCGCUGGAGGUGAGGAGGAUCCACCUGGCCCAGAAGAUUGAGGAUCUGGAGUGGGAGCUCUCUCUGCUCCUCCAGGUGGCAGCAGAUGGCAGCACCAACCUAGGCAGCCCGGGCAGCCCUGAGUCCCUCAGGACACAGCAGUGGCCACCUGUGGGACGUGCUUUCUCCACCAAGGACAUGACCAGGUUCCCCUGGUAGGAAGGGGUGGGAGUCUGAGGUUGCAGUGCCGGUUGGUGAUGAUAUGUUCCCAUUGGAAGCACCUGGAUCACUGUCAGAGCCCACAGCACAGCACCUGCUGGAUUCUGCCUUUGUCCCUUUGCAAAUAAAGUAGUAUGGGCUGAGGG
rnacentral:lncRNA from 1 species